UUAGGAAUCUUGCGCAAUGGGCGAAAGCCUGACGCAGCGACGCCGCGUGACCGACGAAGUCCUUCGGGAUGUAAAGGUCUUUUGCCGGGGAAGAAUAAAGUGACGGUACCCGGCGAAUAAGCUCCGGCUAACUACGUGCCAGCAGCCGCGGUAAUACGUAGGGAGCGAGCGUUGUCCGAAGUUACUGGGCGUAAAGCGCGCGUAGGCGGUCGCUUAAGUUAGAUGUGAAAUCCCGCAGCUCAACUGCGGAACUGCAUCUAAAACUGGGCGACUUGAGGACGGGAGAGGGCAGUGGAAUUCCUGGUGUAGCGGUGAAAUGCGUAGAUAUCAGGAGGAACACCGGUGGCGAAGGCGGCUGCCUGGUCCGUAUCUGACGCUGAGGUGCGAAAGCUAGGGGAGCGAACGGG
rnacentral:rRNA from 1 species